rnacentral:rRNA from 1 species
CCUACGGGAGGCAGCAGUGGGGGAUAUUGCACAAUGGGGGAAACCCUGAUGCAGCGACGCCGCGUGAGUGAAGAAGUAUUUCGGUAUGUAAAGCUCUAUCAGCAGGGAAGAAAAUGACAGUACCUGACCAAGAAGCCACGUCUAACUACGUGCCAGCAGCCGCGGUACUACGUAGGGGGCAAGCGUUAUCCGGAUUUACUGGGUGUAAAGGGAGCGUAGUCGGUUAUGUAAGUCUGGAGUGAAAGCCUGGGGCCCAACCCCGGGACUGCUUUUGAAACUGUGUAACUGGAGUGCAGGAGGGGCAGGCGGAAUGCCUGGUGUAGCGGUGAAAUGCGUAGAUAUAUGGAAGAACGCCGGUGGCGAAGGCAGCUUACUGGUCUGUAACUGACGCUGAGGUUCGAAAGCGUGGGUAGCAAACAGGAGUAGAUACCCCUGUAGUC